rnacentral:rRNA from 1 species
AUUGAACGCUGGCGGCAGGCCUAACACAUGCAAGUCGAGCGAGUGGCGGACGGGUGAGUAAUGUAUGUGCAUCUGCCCGAUGGAGGGGGAUAACUACUGGAAACGGUAGCUAAUACCGCAUACCAUCGGAUGUGCCCAGAUGGGAUUAGCUAGUGGGUGGGGUAAAGGCUCACCUAGGCGACGAUCCCUAGCUGGUCUGAGAGGAGGAACAGUCACACUGGAACUGAGACACGGUCCAGACUCCUACGGGAGGCAGCAGUGGGGAAUAUUGCACAAUGGGCGCAAGCCUGAUGCAGCCAUGCCGCGUGUAUGAAGAAGGCCUUCGGGUUGUAAAGUACUUUCAGCGGGGAGGCGUUACUCGCAGAAGAAGCACCGGCUAACUCCGUGCCAGCAGCCGCGGUAAUAC